AACGAACGCUGGCGGCAUGCCUAACACAUGCAAGUCGAACGAGACCUCCGGGUCUUGUGGCGCACGGGUGCGUAACGCGUGGGAACCUGCCCUUAGGUUCGGAAUAACUCUCCGACAGGGGUGCCAAUACCGGACAAGGGCUUCUGACCAAAGAUUUAUUGCCUUUGGAUGGACCCUCGUUGGAUUAGCUGUUUGGUAGGGUAAUAGCCUACCAAGGGGCCCAUUGGUAGCUGGUCUCAGAGGAUGAUUAGCGACGCUGCGACUGGGACGCGGCCCAGACUCCUACGGGAUGGGGCAGUGCGGAAUGGUGCACCGUGGGCGAAAGCCUGAACGAGUACUGACGCGUAAGUGAUGUAGGUCUUGGGGUUGUAAAGCGCUUUUAACCGGGAUGAUAAUGACAGUACCGGAAGAAUAAGCCCCGGCUAACUCCGUG
rnacentral:rRNA from 1 species